GCCAAGAGCCUAGGUGGUAAGGCGCUCGUAAGUACCUCCAGUCCUCCAUCGGGGUGAGUCAACAUUUGGGUUAGCAAUAACUUUGACAGGAGGUUGGAGACUCGAGAGACCCGGGUUCGAUUCCCGGCCUAGGCA
rnacentral:tRNA from 1 species